GAUUCCAUUGUUGACUUAACAGACUAGUCCGUUGUUGAUUCGAUUUCGUAGGCCAUGGAAUGGAGUUGGUGAAGUUGGCGCUCCUACGUCAACUUGGUUAGAGGUCCAAGUUCGAGGGACCUGACGAGAAGGAGGACAAGGAGCACCGGGAACCAAGACCUCGAUAUAGCCAUGGCAGUAGCCGCACCUUCCCCUCCCACAACGUCUUUCUUCUCCUCCCCGCAACAUGCAUCUCUCUCUGUUCGUGGUGUACAAAUUGUUGAUUUUUUUUAUGAUUAGAGUAAGUCAGUAGAAAAGUUUGACACUUGACGAAAUUCCAUGGGGAUUAGGCACAGGAAUCCAUCCCAGGAGAGACGAGAGCAAAGAUGCCUAUAUUGACGAAAUUCUUGAUUGUUGGAUCACGAGGAUCCAGGAUCUCUCUCCACCGCCAAAUCUGACUUGUUGGAUAGCACUUGCACUUGUAUGUACAGACAAAUGAAUCUGCAUCACUUUUUGACCGGCAUCUGAAAACUGAGACGUGCAGACCCAUUUGUAAACAUCACUGAUGCAGAUCUGUUCCUAGUGUAGAUUUGGACACAAUCCCUCUUGACUUUGAGGUUUUUUUCCCAAGUCAUCGCUGCUCUGUUCUAGCCUAUUUUCUAUUCUGGUUGUGAAACCAAACUAUGGUGGUGAGGUCCCUCCUGGGUUUGGUUUACUCUGAGGUCGUGCACCACGAUUCCAGGUUCUUGUGUAGUGGUAUGACGAAAUUCUGUAAUUCAUAUCAUAUCUUGUUCAAUAUGAUGCGUUUAUGGUUGAUGCUCAUGCUCAUGAAUGGUAUUUCAUUUUGCACCUGAUCUAGCUCACUGUUUCCCUAAAAUUGCUACUGGAUAUACAUUGUUUGGUUAGUGCUUCCAUUCUUGGUGGACUAAAUUGGAUGAAGAAAAUGUGUCGAUUUUGUACGGUAAAAAGUUGCUACCUUGCCCUAGAUGUCUACAUUACUAAUUAUGCUCUUUUCAUCUACAAAUAAAUUAUCACACCUCACUGGCCUCUUGUAGGUCAUGUGGUUUUUUGGGAAGACCAAUCCUGCUUUAUAAAUAACUUAUCACACCUCACUGCCCUGUUUAUUUUAUAGCUCACAAUUUGCUGUUGUACAUGCUGAUUGUAGUCAAUCUGUUGGAUGCUUUGACCUAGUUACAUCACAUAUUUUAAAAUUGAUGUGCUAGUCUUUUUCAUAAAUUUGUUGACGGGUUAUUCUUGUAGGCACCAAAAUCUGAUAAUACAUAUGUUUGUGUGGCGUUGGCUGCGUGGUCAUUUGUUACUCGUUUUUCUCCAUGACCCGUUCAGCUUAUGUGUAGUAGGUGUACACGGAAAAAGAGAAAGUUUUUAGGAGAUGAGGAGUUACUGAAGUGCAAGGCCUCGAUGAGUCCAAAUCAACUCAAUGGUUUGCAUCGCAGAUGCCGUCGACGGUGAGCAUACAUGCUGCGGUGGAAGCUCAUUGCAUCUUUUAGGUUCAUGCUUGGUGUGAACUUAGAACUCAUGCUUUCGUUUGUGAACUGUUGUUGCAUAUAUACGUAUGUUGGAUAUGUAUGCAUUUGUGAACUUGGAACUCAUCCUUUCAUUUGUGAACAUAUGUAUGCAUGU